CUGCUGCUGAUGAGAUCUAACCAGGUCGAAACAGCUGUCCAACAG
rfam:Echinostoma caproni strain Egypt genome assembly, scaffold: ECPE_scaffold0010945